CAUCAGGAUGUGCUCCCACUCCACUACUGGCUCACGCCAUCUUCUGCUUCCUUGUGGAUCAAACUUAAUGGAGACAACAAGGCUUGAAUCAGGAAGAGAAUUGGUUAUAAGCAGACAGAAAGAUUCAGAGAGACAGAGAGAGGCUAUGUACCCAAAUAUCCCACAGCAAUAAUAAAUUUGAUGCUCAAUUCAAAAGCAUUAAAUGAAAUCUGAAAUAUUCAUACAAAUCAAUCAGAAUUAAAGCCAAUAAUUCAAAACUAAAACAUAUAUAAUGCUUACCAAGCCGUAAGGGGUCUACCUUAAUGAUGUCCCACAACCAUGCAAGGCCAUGAAGGACAUCAUUAGCAUCAGGAUGCUCCCACUCCACUACUGCCUCACGCCAUUCUUUCGCUUUCUUGUGGAUGAAACUUAAUGCAGACAACAAGGCUUGAAUCAGGAAGAGAAUUGGUUACAAGCAGACAGAAGAUUCAGAGAGACAGAAAGAGGUUAUGUACGCAGAUAUCCCACAGCAAUAAUGAAUUUGGUGCUCAAUUCAAAAGCAUUAUAUGAAAUUGUCUGACAUGAGACUAGAGCAAUUAGGAUUACUGGAGAAUCCACCGCUUCUUGUGCCAUACCCAAAGCUAUGCAGAGUGUGGAUCCCCUUAGCUUCCCCAAAUGCAUCAUCUCUCCUUGAAAUGCCUUAACAACAAACAUUCUGCAGCUUUGGAAUCCUUCAUCGGCUGUCAAAUUAUCUACAAAAAGAUUUUCAAAUUAUUAAAAAGGCACAAACUUCAAAGCUAAUCAAAUUCUCAUUUAAAAUCUCGUCUUUAAAAAGACAAGAGUUAUCCAAUCCCACAUAAACAAAUUAAGAAUCUUCCUAUAAAUAAUAAAUAAAAAGAGGAAUUUUUGAUAAUAUUUAAUUAGUGUCUCAAAAUUAAAGGGACAAAUAUAAAAGGUGUUAGGAUUGUGAGAGAAAGAGAGGAAUCACCGAAACUUUAUAAAGGGACGAAGGACAUCCUUAGCGUUAGGAUCCUCCCACUCCACUACUGACUCCCACCAUUCUUUUGGUCUUAUAUACAUUUCUCUAAUAGAAGGGGGAGAUGGAAGACAAAUUGCCAUCCUCUUCAGCUUCUCACAUAUGUCUACGUCAAUUUUUUGGAGAGAAUUGCAAAUUAAUUUUGCACUACAAAUUCUUUUCAGUUCUGGUAACCAACUCAAUUCCAAUUCUCUUAACUUUGGGAUUCUGAACUCGAUGUUGUUGUUGCUGCUUUCUUCAUCUGAUCUUGUUCCACUUAUUAUCUCCUCCAUCUUCUCACAUCCUACAACUAUAAUCUUUUCUAGGUUUAAGAGACAAAUCCAAGAAGAUGGAACCAAGAUCUCCAUGCUAUCGCAAAUCAUUACUUCCAUUUGUUGGAGAGAAUCACAAAUCAGUUUUGCACUACAAAUUCUUUUCAGUUCUGGUAACAUACUCAAUUUCAAUUCUCUUAACUUUGGGAGUUUGAAUUCGGUGUUGCUACUGCUGCUUUCUUCAUCUGAUUUUGUUCCACCUAUUAUCUCCUUCAUCUUCUUACAUCCUAAUACUGUAAUCUUUUCUAGGUUUACGAGGGAAGUCCAAGAAGAUGGAACCAAGCUCUCUAUGCUGUUGCAAUUCCGUACUUUAAUUUGUUGGAGAGAAUCGCAAAUCAGUUUUGCACUACAAAUUCUUUUCAGUUCUGGUAAAUUUUCUAAUGCCAGAGAUCUUAACUUUGGGAGUUUGAAUUCGGUGUUGCUACUGUUGCUUUCUUCAUCUGAUCUUGUUCCACCUAUUAUCUCCUUCAUCUUCGUACAUCCUGCAACUGUAAUCUCUUCUAGGUUUACGAGGCAAAUCCAAGAAGAUGGAACCGAGAUUUCCAUGCUCUUGCAAUUCUGUACUUCAAUUUGUUGGAGAGAAUCGCACAUCAAUUUUGCUCUACAAAUGCUUUUCAGUUCUGGUAAAUUAAACAAUGCUAGAGAUCUUAACUUUGGGAGUUUGAAUUCGGUGCUGCUGCUGUUGCUGCUGCUGCUGCUUUCUUCAUCUGAUCUUGUUCCUGUAAAGAUAUCAACGGCUUUACGUCUACCAAGUGUCAGAAGAUUAGAGAUUGAUAUUGUUAGAAUGUUGUUAGUAUUGUUUGUUAGCUAAGAGAGUUUGUUAGUAUUGUUUCAGUGCUAAGAGAAAGAACAGAUACCGUGUAUUAUCUUUCUAAUAUAGCCUAUAUAAACUGAGGAUUAGUGAUGUGAAAAUAAUGAAAGAAAAAGUAAUAAUAAAACAGUGCGAGACUUCAUCUUCUGCUUCUCUGUAACAGAAUUAUUCUAUAUUCUUCUUUCCUUUCUAUUCUCUGCACUUUCUUCAUUUCUGCUCCUUUUCUGUAUAAAUUCUACCGUCUAUCAUGGUAUCAGAGCAGUAACUGGUCCGAUGGGAUGUCUUCUGAUUGUCAAGAAUUAUACUGGCGAUCGUCUAAAUUUUGGUUUGGCUGCUAAGCAAGCAAAAUCUGAAGGUUAUAAAGUAGAGACUGUAAUUGUUGGAGAUGACUGUGCUUUACCUUCACCUCGAGGCAUAGCUGGACGAAGAGGGUUGACGGGGACUAUUCUUGUUCAUAAGGUUGCUGCAGCUGCAGUUGCUGUUGGCCUUUCUCUUGAUGAAGUUGCUGCAGAAGCGAAACGUGCAUCUGAAAUGGUUCUAAUAUCUUGCUAAUCUCUGUUUAUGUGGAGAGAGCAAUACGGUCUCUUAAGAUUCAUACUUCUCAACAAGCUUGCACAAAGAGGCACUAAAUUGCUUUUGGCCACUUGCCAGAGCAAGUACGAUAGUCUUCUCCAUCAAAUCCUGAAGAAGAUCAAUAUAUAACAAAGAGUCGCCGCCAAUGUAUUACCAGCAGCCAUUAAUCUCUGUUUCUGGCAUUAUUAUCUCCUUAUCUACACAAUUCUUUCAUAAUAAUCGAUCUGUCUAUCAUUUGUUUGAUAUAUUGUCAAACUGAAAAAUUCUUCUUCAAAUCUUCAACUUUCUGCAAGAUUCUUCCUUCUCAAUCUUUGAUUCUCUUCUUUUCUAUCUCUUGCACUCUAAAAAUGGCGACUACUUCUCAACUUCAGAUAGUUCAACUCUAAUAAGAGAAUAUACACAUAAACGUUUUCUUCUUCCUCUGCACUACAUAAUUUCUCUCUGCUUCUCUUCAUCUCUAUUCUCUGCUUUUCUUCUCUUCAUCUCUAUUGCUUCUAUUCUCUGCUUUUCUAUUGCAGUAUCUCCCUCUAAUUCUAUUCACUUCUUUGUUCAUCUCUGUGACGAUUCUUGCUAGCUUUUCAAAAUAUUUCUUCUAUCUCCAUUGCUUCCAAUCCAGUGUUCCAUUCCAGGAUGAAACAUCUCCAGAUCGAUUAUCACUUUGUUAGGGAACGGGUUAUCAAGGGUGAUUUACUGGUCCAGCAUGUCUUCUCUACUGAUCAGUUUGCUGAUAUCCUCAUCAAAGGUCUUUCCAUUUCUUUGUUUCAGCAUCAUUGUUCCAAUCUCAUGCUUGGCUCCUCCAAGCCUGCGAUUGAGGGGGCAUGUAAAGAUAUCAACGGCUUUACGUCUACCAAGUGUCAGAAGAUUAGAGAUUGAUAUUGUUAGAAUGUUGUUAGUAUUGUUUGUUAGCUAAGAGAGUUUGUUAGUAUUGUUUCAGUGCUAAGAGAAAGAACAGAUACCGUGUAUUACCUUUCUAAUAUAGCCUAUAUAAACUGAGGAUUAGUGAUGUGAAAAUAAUGAAAGAAAAAGUAAUAAUAAAACAGUGCGAGACUUCAUCUUCUGCUUCUCUGUAACAGAAUUAUUCUAUAUUCUUCUUCCUUUCUAUUCUCCGCACUUUCUUCAUUUCUGCUCCUUUUCUGUAUAAAUUCUACCGUCUAUCAGUUCCACCUAUUAUCUCCUUCAUCUUCUUACAUUCUGCAACUAUAAUCUCUUCUAGGUUUACGAGGCAAAUCCAAGAAGAUGGAAUCAAGCUCUCCAUGUUGUUGCAAUUCCUUACUUCAAUUUGUUGGAGAGAAUCAUACAUCAGUUUUGCACUACAAAUGCUUUUCAGUUCUGGUAAAUUAAACAAUGCUAGAGAUCUUAACUUUGGAAGUUUGAAUUCGGUGUUGCUGCUGCUGCUUUCUUCAUCUGAUCUUGUUCCACCUAUUAUCUCCUCCAUUUUCUCACAUCCUCUAACUGUAAUUUCUUCUAGGUUUACGAGGCAAAUCCAAGAAGAUGGAAUCAAGCUCUCCAUGCUGUCGCAAUUCGUUACUUCAAUUUGUUGGAGAGAAUCGCACAUCAAUUUUGCACUAUAAAUGCUUUUCAGUUCUGGUAAAUUAAACAAUGCCAGAGAUCUUAACUUUGGGAGUUUGAAUUCGGUGCUGCUGUUGCUAUUUUCUUCAUCUGAUCUUGUUCCACCUAUUAUCUCCUUCAUCUUCUUACAUCUUGCAACUGUAAUCUGUUCUAGGUUUGCGAGGCAAAUCCAUGAAGAUGGAACCAAGCUCUUCAUGUUGUCGCAAUUCCAUACUUUAAUUUGUUGGAGAGAAUCGCACAUCAAUUUUGCACUACAAAUGCUUUUCAGUUUUGGUAAAUUAAACAAUGCCAGAGAUCUUAACUUUGGGAUUUUGAAUUCGGUGCUGCUGCUGCUGCUUUCUUCAUCUGAUCUUGUUCCACCUAUUAUCUCCUCCAUUUUCUCACAUCCUCUAACUGUAAUCUCUUCUAGGUUUACGAGGCAAAUCAAAGAAGAUGGAACCAAGAUUUCCAUGCUCUUGCAAUUCUUUACUUCAAUUUGUUGGAGAGAAUCGCACAUCAGUUUUGCUCUACAAAUGCUUUUCAGUUCUGGUAAAUUAAACAAUGCCAGAGAUCUUAACUUUGGGAGUUUGAAUUCGGUGCUGCUGCUGCUGCUGCUUUCUUCAUCUGAUCUUGUUCCACCUAUUAUAUCCUUCAUCUUCUUACAUCCUGCAACUAUAAUCUCUUCUAGGUUUACGAGGCAAAUCCAAGAAGAUGGAAUCAAGCUCUCCAUGCUGUUGCAAUUCAUUACUUCAAUUUGUUGGAGAGAAUCGCACAUCAGUUUUGCAUUACAAAUGCUUUUCAGUUCUGGUAAAUUAAACAAUGCCAGAAAUCUUAACUUUGGAAGUUUGAAUUCGGAGUUGCUGCUGCUGCUUUCUUCAUUUGAUCUUGUUCCACCUAUUAUCUCCUCCAUUUUCUCACAUUCAUCUACUCUAAUCUCUUCCAAGUUUACGAGGUUUAGCAGCAAGACAAAAGGGAACAACUUCUUCAUACUACUACAUCGAGAGCAAUUGAACUCUUUAAGACUAGAAAAUACACCAUUAUAAGAUGGCAAUGAUGUUGGAGAAGGGCCAAACCAAGAAGAUGAAACCAAGCUCUUCAUGCUAUUGCAAUCCUCAAUGUGGAUGACCUCCAGUUUAUUUGAAUGCUCUAUCAGAGAGGAAACAUCACAUGAACAUUUAUAAAUAAACAGUUGUUGAAUGUCAUUUGGGAACAUGACUUGAAAAUCUCCAUCUCCAUUGUUACAUAAAUUAUCCAACCUAACUGUUUUACUUGGUGAUGUACUUUGUGACGUCAAAUUACCCAACCCAACAAAAACAUAUUGACAUCUAUCUCGUGGUCCUACAAAAAUAUGGUAUGUACUUGGUGAUCGUGUCGUAUCCCGAGAAUUCAAAUACUCCACAAAGUCAGAUUGACCUUCAAAAUGGCAUGCCAAAAUUUCCAACUCCCCCAAGCAUCCUACUUCCUUUCCUUUAACUGUUACUGGAUAGUAGUUACGAUCAAUCCACUCCUCUAAUAUGAAGACUUGCAGGUGAGAGAGUUUUGGUAAUAUCCAACUAGGAAACUUCUUUUCACCACAUCCAUUCAUCCUCAGAUACCUCAGGUUGGAUAGACAUUGCAUGCCUUGAGGUAUCUUUUUAAGUGCCCUAGUACCAGAGAGAUCUAGCCUCUUCAGUGCUCCGAGCUUUUCUAAUGAUGGUACAUGCCUUAAACUUCUGCAUUCUUUGAGCAAUAAUGCAGUGAUACUCACCAGUGUAGAGACAGAAUUAGGCAAUUUUAUGAUGCUUGUACGAGACAAGUCAAGAACCUUGAGCCCAUGCAAUUGUGUGAAAAACGAAUUUGCAAUAAAUUGCAAAUGUAGAUUAUCACAUGGCAAUAGAGUUGAAAGAUUGGGGCAUCUUGGUGAAUAACUAGAAGGAAUUUCCUCGAAAUAACAAUCCUUCAUAUAGACUCUCACUAAAUUACCCAACCAAAUUGUUUUACUUCUGCCAGAAUUAGCUAUUUCAUUAUAAUAAUCUUCAUCCAGUGGUCCUACGCAAAUACUGUAUGUACUUAGUGAUCGAGUCUUAUCCCGAGAAUUGAGAUACUCCACAAAGUCAGAUUGACCUUCAAAAUGGCAUGCCAAAUUUUCCAACUCCCUCAAGCAUCCUACUUCCUUUCCUUUAAUUGUUACUGGAAAGUAGUCAUCACCAAUCUUCUCCUCUAAUAUGAAGACUUGCAGGUGAGAGAGUUUUGGUAAUAUCCCACUAGGAAACUCAUUUUCACCACAUCUAUUCAUCCUCAGAUACCUCAGGUUGGAUAGACAUUGCAGGCCUUGAGGUAUCUUUUCAAGUGCCAAAGUACCAGAGAGAUCUAGCCUCUUCAGUGCUCCGAGCUUUUCUAAUGAUGGUACAUACCUUAAACUUUCGCAUUCUUUGAGCAAUAAUGCAGUGAGACUCACCAGUUCAGAGACAGAAUCAGGCAAUUCUUUGAUUUCUGUACAAGACAGAUCAAGAACCUUGAGCCCAUGCAAUUGUGUGAAAAAAGAAUCUGCAAUAAAUUGCAACCCAUCAUUAUCACAAAGCAAUAGAGUUGAAAGAUUAGGACACCUUGGUGAAUGACUGGAAGGAAUUUCCGUGAAAAAACAACCCUUCAGAUAGACUCUCGCUAGAUUCUCUUUCCACAUAUCCACAUCUGGUAAUUCAUCAUUAUAUCCCCCAACCAUGACUGGAGUUUGUUUGGAGUAUUUGGUGGGCCAUGUCCCUAAUCAAGUCAUGCAUCUUGACAUAUCUACGAUCACCAUAACCAGCUCUUUCCAAUAAACAGACUUUUUCAAGUUUAUCAAGCAUCGUGUGGCCCUCGUCAAAUGCUGCUUGCCUCCUCCUCAUUUCUUCAAUUAUUCCCUCAUCGAUCAAAUAACCUAUCAGCUCCUCCCUUCCAAUCUUAUAAUCUUCAGGAUACAAUGCACAAUACAAGAGACAUUGUUGUGAUGCAAAAUCAUUUAACUGAUCAUAACUAAACCUCAAUAACCGGAAUACCUCAUCUUCCAUUUCCCUACAUUUUGAUUCUUUCAAUUUCUUCAAUGUAUUCCUCCACUCAUGUGGCUCAUCCACUCCCCUCAUGCUUCCUGCCAUUGUAAUAAUUCCCAACGGCAAACCAGCACAUUCCCUUACAACAUCCACAGCAAUUCGUUCCACUUCUGGAGAAAGUGUUAUGUCAUGUCCAAGUCUCUCAAUAAACAAAGCCCAAGCUUCUCUCUCCAAAAUAGGCUGCACUUUGAUUAUGUGUUGGGUUUUCAUUUGUUGACAAACCUUUUCUGAUCGAGUUGUAAGAAUAAGCUUGCAUCCCUCAACUUCGUCAGGAACUCCUAGCUUUUGUAGGUCAAAAGCCUUCCACAAAUCAUCUAAAAUCAGAACCCAUUUUUGUUUCUUCUUUAAUUCUUCUUUCAACGCGGCCGCUCUAUGCAGCUCCUCAUCUUCACUGGAAAGAUCUAAACCAAUACGUCUUGCGAGACUUGUCUGCAAUCUAUUAAUGCUGGUAUCCUGUGAAACAGUAACCCAGUAAACAUGAGUGUCUGGUCUUUCUAGAAGCUGAUUAUAUAUGUGCGUCACCAAUGCCGUCUUUCCCACUCCGCCCAUCCCAUAGAUGCCAAUACUUGAAACUUCAUUGCGCAUCAACAAAGAUGAGAUAGUCUUCUUGUGUUCUUCGAAUGCUUGACCCACCAUUUUUCUCGUUGGCAGUGCAUCUCCUUUAAUCUUAUUUGUGUUGCCUGCAACCCCUCCAGAAGAGCUAGCUCCUGCGCCAGGUUGCUCUGAUCUUCCACUAUUGUUCUCCACGUCCUCCUCCCCCAUUAAAAAAGCAGAGAUGGCAAUCUGAUCCCAAGGUUUCCCUUCUAAUUGUUGCAUCAGAUCUAUUCUUUGUGUAGCUUCCCCUGUAUUAUCAUGUGCAUCAAUCAUGAGUCUCCUGGAAUGCUGACUAGAUCCAUCACCAGUGUUUUCCAUGCUAUUUGCCGCUAAGUUCGGACAAAUUCUCUCUUCCUCCGCACCUAGUUCCAUGCCAUGUACUCCCACUUGUAUCCUCCCAGCAUGCCCUGCCAAACUGUCAAGUUCUGCAUUGCUUUGUUCCAACACUUGAACCAGUACUGGUUCUGUCCUGACUGCAACCAUGUUCUGCACAUCGUUCAUAUUGGCAUCAUUGUUUACUGAUGGAGAACAGAGUUGAGUAUCUGUUGGUCGGGAUGAAUCUCCUCGAGGCCCAUCUGUUUGAUAAAUUGAUGGCCUCUCAUGAGAACUAACUCUCUCCAGCUGCGCAAGUUCAGCCCCUCCAAUCAAAUCAUUUGCCCAUGCAAGUUCUCCAGUGAAAAAAGGUCCUCCUUGUUGUGCCAUCUCUACAUGUGUCACUUCAUUGUUCUGUUCUUGCGUUGAAGCUGAAAUUGCAUUAGCGACCUCGUUACUGCUUGAGCCCGCAACAGUUUUAAGUUUCUUUUUUGGAGGGCUAUUAUCAACUGCUUCACAAGCUGCAUCGUGAACUUCUGGUGGAACGUUUUCACAAAUUUUAACACCACGCCCUUUCUUUCUUGCCAAAUGCAAUUUGAUCCUCGUAAUGGAAGUACCUUCGGAAAAAAAAUGCCCACAAAACGUACACGUCAUGCCGCCACCACCACCAUCCAUCUUUUCAACAUAUUCCCAAAAAGGAUCAUUUGGUCGACUCAUUUUGAUCAGUGGCUCUAUAGAAAAGAAAAAAGAAAAAGAUAUGUCAACACGAUGCCCUAUUAAAAAAUAGAAAUUCAAAGGAACAUUGAAUAAAAAUCAAAGGAAGUUCCUCUUAAUGGAGGGAGUUAACAUCAGAAAGUUGUAUGUUCAAUUAACAGAAGAAAAAAACCAAUGAAUUAUGUAACUAGAUCAUAAAUCUCAAUCGAGUUUAAUUUUUUUUUUCCUCUUAAAUUUAUAAUAAACCUUAAACAAAAAUAAAAAACAAAGUGAACAGGUGCUCACAGUAUUUAUAACAAUAAAAAACAAAGUGAACAGGUGCUCACAUAAUAAUAAAAACCCGUGACCCAACUGCAUUCAAUAUUUAUUUUUCCUUAAAUUUAUAACAAACCUUAAUAAAUAAAUAAAUAUCAUCCAUAAAAGGGUAAACUGUGUAACAGAGAAUGGUAUAACGAGAUGAGAUGUGGAAGAGAUUGUUACAGUUAUAGCACAGAGAGAAGAAUGGUUCAAGAGAAAACAAUAAUGGAGGGGAAUCAAAAUCUCUGUUUGAUUUUUUUCUUUUUUGUGUUUUCAGUACACAAUAGCUUGGAAAAGUUUGUUAGCAAUAACCUGUUCGACCUCAAUAAUGUUGUUGUGGAAACUUUGUAAUGGAUCGAUCAGCAGAAAGAAACAUAUUAGAAUGAUUUUUUUUACAUUAAUAUAUUAAAUUAAAAAAUGUUAACGCGUGGACCCAUCAAUGUUUAUCAAUUUUCGAGUAUUUUCAUGACAUAUCGUCUUACAUUGCGAUUAAUAUUUAAGUAUAGAUCAAUUAAUUUUUUAAAUUAAUAAUAAAUUAUUUUAUUUUAUUUUAUUUUAAUUAGAAUUAUAAUUUAUAUGUGAGCCAACAUAUUAAAAACUUAAUGAAUUUCAUAUAUUAAGAAUUAUUUGUACAAAAUUAAAAUAUAAUGAUUAAUCAAAUACAAUUUUAUUAUAAAUAAGUUUUAGAAAUUAAGGAGUAAAAUAUAAUUAAUAAAAGAGAUUAAGAUUCUAGACCUAGAAAAAUCAAGUAAUGACUUGAUUGUAUAAAUUUCUAAAACUAUUAUGAAAUAAUAUAUAUGAUAUUUUUAAGGAGAUAAAAUGAUAUUUUAUCACUAAUAAGGUUGCCAAGUUUUUCAUAUAAAUAUAAUGUUAGAUCUCAUAUUUGUUUUUAUAUUCAUAUGAAGUGAUAAAACAUCUAAAAACAUAAAAAAAAAUUAAAAAUUAACACUAAAAGCAUAAUAACCCCUCUAUCCUAAAUCUUAUUGGUGGAUAACCCGUUUUUUUUUUAAGUAUUUUUUCAUAUUUUAAGCUUCUUAAAAAUUGUAGCACUCAUAAUCUCUAUAUUGUUAGGAAUAAUUCUUAUAUUUUUCAUGUAUCUAUAUGUCAGUAUGUGAGUCUCUCUAUAUAAAUUUAUAGUCGUGCAGUUAUUCACUAUUUGUCCCCUUCAAUUCCAGUGUUACAAAUAAGUUCAAGCUAAAAUAUUUUUCUUUGUUAUAUCCUAUUUAGUAAGGUUAUUAUAUAUCAUUCUUCUAAAAAAUUAACUAAGCUAUAAUAUGGGGUAAUAUACUUAUUCCUUUUUAAAACAAAUUAUUUUUAUAAUUUUAAAAUAUUUAAAUUAUUUUUCAAGUAUCAAAAACAUAGAUUAAUUAGUGUAAUGGAAAUGUAAUUAAAAUCAAGCGCCUUUAGGCCUCAUAUAUAAAUUCUUAACUCUCAAAAUUAUUCCAAUAAAUAUAUAUAAGGAAGAAAAACAUGCAGCUAAGACAGACAGACAAAAAAUAAUGAAAUACAUGGUUUUCCUUAAAAGAAAAGGGAACUUGAAAUACAAAGUCCUUGGCGUUUAUAGGAGGAGAAAAAAUAAAAGGUUAUGUUUAUUUUAUUCCACAGAUGAUGAAAUACUUAUUUUAAUUAGGCACUUUCCUUCACUAUUUUCUCGAGAUCUUUUAGUCACAAUUAAUAGCAAUUUUAAUUAAUUUUACUAAUUAGUAGGGAAUAAAUUUUGAUGGAUCAUGACUUCUAGGAUGAAAAUACUUAAUUAAAUAAAAUGCAAAAAUUACAACCCUUGGUGAUUUAAUAACCAGCAUGCUGUUUUAUUUGAAUGAAUCAAGCAAAACAAAAAAAAAAAAAAGUUUACCUGAACGUUUCUGGCAGCAAAAAAAAGUUCUCCAAGUGUUUGGUUACUAGUUUGCUUAAGCAAUCAGUAAAGAACAGGAAUCUGAGAGAGAAGAAUGGUUUAGAAAAAAAACAACCAACAUGGAAGAAUUAAGCAAUAAAAAACAAAAAAUAUAUAGUUUACCUGCAAAAAAAAGAGGUUCUUCAAGAGUGGUUACAGGUUAGCUUAAGCAAUCAGAAAAGAACAGGGAUCUGAGAGAGAAGAACGGCUUAGAAAAGAAUGGUAGCAGAGAGAGUGUGGAAGAGAUUGAAUGUCAAGAGGAGGUUCUGCAGCUGCUUCGUUGGCUUAAGCAGACAGACAAGGGAUAUAAUAGGCACAGAGAGAAGAGUGGUUCAAGAAAACAAAUCAAUAAUGUAAACAAUUGCUUGGAAGAGUUUUAUAGGAAUCAACAAACUGUUAAAUAUUUCACAUGUCAAUUGAUACCCACCUCGCAUAACGUGGCAACCCAUUUGUUGUUAAAACUUCGAAAACCCAAAUACUGUGAUCUGUUCGAAUGUUAAUUGUAUAAUUAAGAAAGGCAGGCGACCUCAAAUUCAAUAACGUUCAAACUUGGAAACUGCAAAUCAAUUACCUAAGGAUUAUAUAUAUAUAUAUAUAUAUAUAGUGUAGUGGACACCACAAAAAAAGGCAGCAGUGAUCAUUCGGCCCUAGCCGGCCACGAAGUCUUCCAUUCCUAAAAGUAAAUUGUAUAAUUAAGAAAAGCUAAAUUGCUAAAUUUAAAAACAGGACCAUCUGAGAAGCCGGCAUACAACAACAUGUCAAAGAUCCCUUUUUCAAAAAUAGACUAUGUAUCAUGUAGUUUAACAUCUCUAAGCAUAAUUUUUGCGAUCAAUCUCUUCAACAGUGAAGCUAGCUAUCCAAUAUUCGAGCGCUUCAAGGGAAAGAACAUCUCCUUUUUGUGCCAUCACUUCAUUGUUUUGUUCUUGCGCAGAAGCUGAAAUUGCAGUAGUUACCUCGUUAUUAUUGCUUGAGGACCAUCAAUUGCUGCACGGGCUGUAUCGUGAACUUCUUCUGGAACAUGUUUACAAAUCUUAACACCACGGCCUGUCACUCCUGAUAAAUGCAAUUUGAUCCUCGAAAUGGAAGAACGUUUCCCAAAUAAAUGCCCACAAAACUUGUGUAAUUAUUCGUAUAAAAUUGUGUAGAUGUGUAGGACGAAACUAAUAGCUCGUCGCUCAUAUAUGAUCGCAGCUAGUUCUUCCAGUAGUGAGGAUGACAUGUCUUUAGAUGCCGAUCAAGAAGAGGCAUUUGCACCGACUCGCGAUGCUGCCUCUUCCAGCGCGGUUUCACAGUCUAGAGACGGUGUGCCUUCAUAGUGAAAUCAAUUCACCCGCAAGUACGAGGAAUAUUGGAAGGACAACCUUUUAAUGUAAGUUUGUUUUGGUUUUAGUUUUUUUUAAUUAUAAUAUUAUUUAUGAACAACUAAUCAAUAUUUCAUUAAUUUAAUUUAUUUUCAAGUUCACAAACAUUGAGGCCGCCCGAGUAAUAUCAUCGGCAUUUAAAUCGUCGAUGGAGAUUCCAUUAUUUCAAUGCAGUCAGGUUUUCAGACAUCCUGAAUGAAGACCUUAUAUCGACGUAUUGUUUGACAAAUUAGAGGAUAAUGUUAAUUUUUAAUUUCCAGCUUAUUUUUAAUAAAUUAUUAUUAUAAUUGUAAAUAAAUUAUUAUUUUUAUUUUGAGAUAGUUUUGAGAUUUAUCUGUCCUACUCUCCAACUUGCAGAAAACAUUAACUCUGCUGCUAGAAAAUCAUUAACAAUGACCAUUGACAUUUGUUUCGCUCAUGAAUGAGAGGAUUUCUUAUGAUACCAUUCAUUAAUGACCAUUAUGAACAGUCCUUACAUAUGGGACACUUUGUCCAAAAGGCAUGGUAAUACAAUCCUUAAAGAGACCUCUUUAGGGCUUUUAUUUCAGUCCCAACAAUGAUGGUAGGAGGUCAGAUCUUCUCAAUAAUUAUGCAAUGUGAUUAUUGUUUUGAGUAAAUCUUUGAACAGGACAAUUUUAGUACACUGUCUUCAAUUUCAUCUUUGGUCAUUUCCAUGAUCUUCUCAAUAAUUUGCUUGUCCCUCAUUAACUCUACAGUUGAUUUCUCUAUAGUUUUUGAGAUAGAAAUCAUUAUGUUUAGUUUUAUUAUAUAUGAUACAAUUUAUUAUUUUUUAUUGGUUUCUUUUUUUCUUUGACUUAGUAUUCAUGAAGUAUAUUAAUUAUAUAUAGAAUAAAUUUAAUUUUUUAAAAAAUAAUAGAUCCAUAACUUGUAUUUAAUAAGAAUAACAACAUUCAUGAACUUGUUUUGGUUAAACAAAUAUAUAAUAUAAUAAUAAUUUAUAAUUUUAUAAUUAUAUAAUCACAAUACACGAUUUCAUGUAUUAACCUCAAUAUUUUAAAAAAAGAAGAAGAAUACUUUGAUAAAUUAAUUUUAUUAUUAAUUAAUGUAUAAAGUAAUAAAUUAUUAAUUUAUCAAAUAUCUUGAUUAAUUAAUAAAUUUUCAUAAUCCCAAAAUGUAUUAAUUGACAUAGAUUUAACUGUACAUGGGAAUUUGUAUGUGGCUCAGUGGCUGUAUUGAACCCAAGCAAGCUUUAAGAGCUUAAGAAAAACCCUCAAAUGGCCCAUCUUCCCACAAUUUAAUUUUCUUUUGCUGUUGUUGUUCGCAUAAACAAUCCAGGGAAGCACUGAUUUAUAUGUCAACCCAACUUCACAAUGGACAGCAGCAACCCAUUCUUGAAACAAUGCCCAGAUGCCAACAAGCAUGAAAACAGAGAAGAAAAGAUGGGAGCCUCGAGACACGAGAUUUCUUGAACAUCAUGCAUGGGAACCCAGAAUAUGGGAUAUCUUAGGGGUUCUGGUGAUAAGAAUGCAGCUUCACAACCAAGCUAUAUAUUUUAUACAUAGUACAUAGGCUCAAAGCCAUUACAGCCACUAAAGAAACCAGAAGAUGUGAACAAGAAGUCAAGUUUAAUUGGGAGAUGAUAUAGAUCGAAGCCAUCAUGACCAUUUGAGAGCACAGCUAAAAUGGAAGACAGCCCUGUAUGUUUGAAACUGUGUACAAUAAAAAACAAGCUAAAAGGCAGUCAAGUUUUCAGGUUUUAUGGUAGUCUUCGACUUGACAAAAAACCAUACAUCAAAACGCAUUUCCCUCCUCCUCCCCAACCGCUAGUACUAAUGGCUAAAUCAUCGCGCCGCCGAUAAAAUGAAGACAACUAGAGGAGUACUUAGAACCAAGCCAAGCCAACCAUAACACUAUCAGUUCCAUAAUCACCAAGCAUCCAUUACUAUGCAUAUACCGGGGCUAAAGUGGAACCAAGGGAAACAAUCAUAUAAGUGAACUGGAAGAAGAGCAUAGUUGCCGGCGUUCAUGUAUUUUUCUUUGGCUAUGAUCUUUUCAAUAUACUUUCGAUGAUUAUCCAAAAAAAGCAUAGUUGCCUGUGUUCAGGUAAGAUUCAGAGAAGCAUUGCCAGUGUUCAUGUAAGAAAGGAAGUCUUAAGAAAGUAAGCAUUAAACGGUUAUGGUUGAGGCUAAUAAUUCAUUAAAAUUAAAUUAAAGGCAGACAGAGAGAUUCAGAGAAAGAGAAAUACAAUCCAAUGUUAUAUUCUCCAACCAAAACUCGACGAAGGGAUUAGGGACAUCCUUGGCAUUAGGAUUCUCCCACCACAGAUAGUUGCCAUCUCUAUGCAUGAGACCUAAGCAGCCUGAAAAAGCCUCUCUAUCACCAUAAGCAGAACAGAGGACAUAACUGAAACAAUGUAAGAGUGAUUCAGAGUAUGCUUUCUUUCCUACCCUUAUUCAUUCAUAAAUAAGAGGCUUGUCAUCCUUCAAAAAGAUCACCCAGUAUUUAAAAGCCAUAAACUUUGAAAACAAUCAAACUCUCAAAAUUAAUUAACUUCCAUUUUUUGAGGGUUCACUGAAAAAUACUAUCCAUCAAGAAUAUUUGGAAUAUUCAUACAAAUCAAUCAGAAUUAAGACUAAUAAUUCAAAACUAAAACAUAUAAAUGUACAUGAAUUUAUUUUAAUAUACUGGUCAAGUUUUUAAUUAUUAUUUCAAAUAUUUCAUUACAUACAAUAAAAAAUAACAUCGUUUAAUAUUUUUUAAUACAAUUAUUUGCUUCUUUUUUUAACCCUUAACAAAGCACAGGCUCAAAGCUUAGUAGUUUUUGUAGUUGAGCCAAGGACUACAACUCCAUUUAAUAUUUUUUAUUUUGAAUUUUUUUAAAAUAUUUUUUUAGCUUUAAAUUAAUAUUUUUUAGUAUUUUUAGAUUUUUUUGAUAUGAGGAUAUUAUAAUGAUUUUAUUUAAAUAAUUUUGAUGCAUUUACAAGAAAAAAACAGUUUGAAAAACAACUUCUACAACACUUUGAUAAUGCUUAAUAUUGUAGUAGCAGUUAUUUUUAAAAAUAUUUUUUAUUUAAAAACAUAUUAAAAUAACAUAUUUUUUAUUUUUUUAUUUUUUAAUAUUAGCAUAUCAAAACAAUUUAAAAAUAAUAAAAAAAUUAAUUUUAAAAAAUUAAUUGGACCGCGUAGGCUUUACAACUCGCAUCUUUAGCUUUAAGAUAACAUCAAGACCAUUAUUCUCUGCCUUCUCUCCCUAUUAGCAAUCACAGUUGCCAAAAGAAAAGGGUGAUUUUCACCUACAAGUAGUCAAAGGAUUGGUCUUCUCUGCUUACCAAAAAAAAAAAGGAUUGGUCUUCUCCGCAAGAUUACGGAGCCAAAUCAGUAGUGCAAAAUCAUCAGAUAUUUCUCCAAGGCUACUCUUGAUUUAGAAACCAUUUGCUACUUUCUCUUGGUAACUUUCCUGUUCUUCUUUGGUCUGCUCGUGACUUUUUGAAAGGUCUGCUGAACACACGAAAAAGAGCUAACUUCUUCCAAAUGACUUCUAUUUUAGCUCUGUAUUAGGCAUGUACACAUCAUAGAAACGAAUUGUUUGAUGGUUAUGUUAGGGAAAAUAUCAUGGUUGUCUCGCAUGAGCAACAAUGUCUAUAACAUUACACGGAUUAAAGUAUUAUGAGGCCUCAUAUUGGAUAUUGUGGCAUGUCCAGCAGAAAUCACAAUGGACUCCUCCAUUGUAGAAUGUUUGCAAACAGAACUGUAAUGCAGGAACCAUGCAUAGAUGAAGUUAGAAUUUUUGGAUUUGUUGACUUAGUGUGUGUUUGGCAUUAUGGUAGCUUAGUUAUUACCUGCAAUUGAAUCCCCUGUUAUUAUUGCAGGCAUUUUGAAGGCUGAUCAUGAUUUCGAAAGUCCAGCUACUGACAGGCACGGUCUUCUUUUGGCCUCUACUAAUGGAGUAUUUGCAUGUUCUUCCAUGGCAUGGGCACUGAUGACUAUGCUCUUCUUACAAGUUCCCUAUUUGACAGCUUUUUUAUCUUUUUUGAACAAUACAAGUUCCUUGUUAUUAUUGCAAAAUGAGUGCAAAGUCCAUUCGUUACUUGCCUACCAAUUGCCUUGGGCAAAUCUCAUCAAUUUCAGUAGAGCAAAUGCCUUAAUGAUAACUAUCUGUUUGAGGAUGUUUUACAAUGUCGAACAAGGGAGGGGAAACAAGAUCAUUAAUUCAUGUGUUUUUAGAAUACGUGGGGUUAUUUGAAACUUGUUGGUAUUUUUUAUUUGAAAAUAAAUAAAAAUAAUAUUUUUAAUUUUUAAAAUUUAUUUUUGACAUUAUUAUAUCAAAACUAUUAAAAACACUAAAAACUUUUAAUUUAAAAUAAAAAUAUAUUUCUUCAAAAUUUGAUGAAAAACCGCACCCACAGCCCCACGCAGCUUCAAACAGGGCCUUGUCAAAAGAUUUUUUUUUCUACAAUGUUGCAAAAAUCAACUAAUAAUCAUAAUUUUUUUUCAUUGUAGUUGUAAAACUCAAUCUCACAGGUUAGUCUAACGGGUUGACUUUUGAAACUCAAGACUUAGAGCCUAACCUGUACUGGGUAAACCGGCAAAGCCCUUACUCAGUAGCUCAUUUGGCCUCAAUCUGGGGAGCCAUUGUCUGACCCGAUGACUUAUUUUUAUUCUAUUCCAAUUUCUAGGCUGGAUAUGUCCUUUAUGGCCUUUAAAUAUCCAAGAGGAAAUCGCAUUUUGUUCUGCCAAAUCUUUCGUUGCUUAAGAAUCUACUAUGAGCCAACAGGUUUGGAUUUGUUUUGCCUUUAUGCAAAUUUUUAUUGGCUUUUGUCUCCCUAAGGUUUUCAUUUAGAAAAAUCUUGACAUAUAGCAUAAUUUGAGAGGAAGGGGAGCAAAAUGUUGAACAAUUUCAAUAUCCAAGAUCCAUCAGAAAAAUCUCAUCCAUGAGAGAAGGUGAUAAAGAUAUGAAUUCCAAAGAAAAUCACUACGUUUUAGAAAUAACUGUUGAAGUCUUUUUUAUCAGUGAUCUGAAUAAAAGAACCCAAUAUUGGUUUAGAUUAAUAUUUAUUUAGUUUAAUUACAAGGUAAAGCAUAUAAAUUCUAUAUCAUAUGUCUUUCAUCGAUGAUCUCAUGAAUUUUGCUGAUGGAUCUCGUUAGAGUUUGAAAAGCAAAUAAUUAUUCUAGCUUCUAACUUGUUAAGAAAGAGGAAGAGAUACUUGGAGGAAGACAAUUCUUUUUAUUCAUCAAUCUCAUUACAUAUGGGGAGAAAAAGAUUACAGAGUAAUUAAAAUCUAAUUCAUGAAUAUGUUGGGGAAAUCCGACUGAUGAAGUACUGAUAUUUGCUCAUUGAAGGUUAAACACACUGACAUAAUAUUUAACGUGGUUCGGCAAACCGUCUACAUCCACAGGAGAGUCAAUAUUAUUAGAGAUAGAUAGAGAAAGGGUUACAACACAAAUACAUGGAGGAGAAGGAUCACUUCACUCUACUCUACUCCCAUCUCUCAUUGUUGCACUUGUAGUUGCUGCAUUGGCUACUGCCAUUGCAAUUCUUAUCUCUUUCUCUCUUCACAUACUCUCUACAUUCUCAUUUUUAUUUUGCUCUCAAAUAAUGCCUCUAUUUAUAGGCAUUUCAUGGCGGACAAUUAUGAGUGCUUUUGUGCUGGAAUGGAAUAGAUAUGGCUUCUCAAUCUCUGAGUUCCAGUUGGGUAGAUAUCUUGGUGUGCCUCUCAUUAGUGGAAAGCUAAAUGAUGUUGAUUGCAUGCUGCUCCUGAAAAAAAAAAAAAAUCAUUACUGUUCAUUUCUUACGGGCUUGAAACUAAAUUCAUUGGGAAAUGCAGAGCUAAUUUCAACCCAAAAAUUUGCUUAUCAUUUUUAGUGAAUAAUGAAAUAGAUGAUGAUUAACACAGAUGAUGAUUGACAGUGAUCAUUGAAAUGAUGAAGAAGGUUACAAUCAAAACACACCCAGAGUGAUACAGUAGGUGCUUCAAAGUCUAGACAACACUUACGGAAAGAAGUCUGACGCAGGAGAUUCUAGAGGAGCUGGGCUAUCACAUACGUAGUUGAUAGCUUUGAACUACCUUGACAUGGCAGACCAGUGCAGGGACAGAAGGACACAAGAGUUUGGGUCCGAUUUGAAGAUGUUUUUGCACACUAUGAAACAAUAAGUUGUCAGGCUUAAGAUCUCUGUGCAUGAGAACAAGUGAAUCACAAGCCUCAAAAACCCCAACGAUGGCAUUAGGAUUCUCCCACCACAGAUAGUUGCCAUCUCUAUGCAUGAGACCUAAGCAGCCUGAAAAAGCCUCUCUAUCACGAUAAGCAGAACAGAGGGCAUAACUGAAACAGUGUAAGAAUGAUUCAGAGCAUGCUUUCAUUCCUACCCUUAUUCAUUCAUAAAUUAGAGGCUUGUCGUCCUUCACCAUCGUCCUGCAAAAAGUUAACCCAGUAAUUAAAAGCCAUAAACUUUGAAACCAAUCAAAUUCUAAAAAUUAAUGAACUUCCAUUUCUUUUGUGGGUUCGCUCAAAAAUACUAUCCAUCAAGCAUAUCUGGAAUAUUCAAACAAAUCAAUCAGAAUUAAUGCUUAUAAUUCAAAAUCUUGUCAGGCUUAGGUCUACCUUAAUGAUGUCCCACAACCAUGCAAGGCCAUGAAGGACAUCCUUAGCAUCAGGAUGCUCUCAGUGCACUACUGACGCACACCAUUCUUUUGUUUCCUUGUGAAUCGAACUUAAUGCAGACAACAAGGCUUGAAUCAGGAAGAGAAUUGGUUAUAAGCAGACAGAAAGAUUCAGAGAGACAGAGAGAGGCUAUGUACCCAGAUAUCCCACAGCAAUAAUAAAUUUGGUGCUCAAUUCAAAAGCAUUUUAUGAAAUUGUCUGACAUGAGAAAUUAGGAUUACUGGAGAAUCCACCGCUUAUUGUGCCAGGGGGUCUCCAUGCCCGAAGCUAUGCAGAGUGUGGAUCCCCUUAGCUUCCCCAAAUGCAUCAUCUCUCCUUGAAAUGCCUAGACAACAAACAUUCUGCAGGUCAAUGGAACUAUCUUCCAUAUUAAACAAAAACAAUACAUAAACAACAAACAUUCUGCAGGUCAAGGGAAUCCAAAAGAGACAAUAUGCUUUCUUCCAAAUCUUUAUUAAAUAAGCGGUUUGGAAUCCUUCACCGGCUGUCAAAUUAUCUACAAAAAGAUUAUCAAAUUAUUAAAAAGGCACAAACUUUAAAGCUAAUCAAAUUCUCAUUUAAAAUCUCGUCUUUAAAAAGACAAGAGUUACCCAAUCCCACAUAUACAAAUUAAGAAUCUUCCUAUAAAUAAUAAAUAAAAAGAGGAAUUUUGGAUAAUAUUUAAUUAGUGUCUCAAAUUUAAAGGGACAAAUAUAAAAGGUGUUACGAUUGGGGAUGGUAAAUUAAAAUCAUUAGGUUAAUCAAACUUGUAAACACACAGCAAUCAUUACGUGGAUGUGGUUGAGGCUAAUAAUUCAUCCAAAUUAAAUUAAGAUUGUGAGAGAAAGAGAGGAAUUACCUGUAAUUAAUUCAAUAUAUAUUAUAUUAUAUUGAAGGCGGAGUCGUUUCCUACCAAAACUUUACUAAAGGACGAAUGACAUCCUUAGUGUUAGGAUGCUCCCUCUCAACUACUGACUCCCACCAUUCUUUUGGAUAUACCCCGAUGUAUUUAAGAGAAGGGGGAGGAAAUGGCUGGCCAUUUUCAAGCAACGGAAGAGAAAUUGGAAUCCUCUUUAGCUUCUCACAUUUAUAAACUUCAAUCACUUGGAUAGAAUUGCAAAUCAGUUUUGCACUACAAAUUUUUUCCAGUUUUGGUAAAUCUGUCAAUUCCAGUUCUCUUAACUUUGGGAGUUUGAAUUCGGUGUUGUUGCUGCUGCUUUCUUCAUCUGAUCUUGUUCCACCUAUUAUCUCCUCCAUUUUCUCACAUCCUCUAACUGAAACCUCUUCUAGGUUUACGAGGCAAAUCCAAGAAGAUGGAACCAAGCUCUCCAUGCUGUUGCAAUUCCAUACUUCAAUUUGUUGGAGAGAAUCACACAUCAGUUUUGCACUACAAAUGCUUGUCAGUUCCGGUAAAUCUUUCAAUUCCAGUUUUCUUAACUUUGGAAGUUUGAAUUCGGUAUUGCUACUGCUGUUUUCUUCAUCUGAUCUUGUUCCACCUAUUAUCUCCUCCAUUUUCUCACAUCCUCUAACGAUAAUCUCUUCUAGGUUUACAAGGCAAAUCCAUGAAGAUGGAACCAAGCUCUCCAUGCUGUCGCAAUUCCAUACUAUAAUUUGUUGGAGAGAAUCGCACAUCAGUUUUGCACUACAAAUGCUUUUCAGUUUUGGUAACCAAUUCAAUUCCAGUUCUCUUAACUUUGGGAGUUUGAAUUCGGUGCUACUGCUGCUUUCUUCAUCUGAUCUUGUUCCACCUAUUAUCUCCUCCAUUUUCUCACAUCCUCUAACUGUAAUCUCUUCUAGGUUUACGAGGCUAAUCCAAGAAGAUGGAAUCAAGCUCUCCAUGUUGUCGCAAUUCCAUACUUCAAUUUGUUGGAGAGAAUCGCACAUCAGUUUUGCAUUACAAAUGCUUUUCAGUUUUGGUAACAACCUCAAUUCCAGUUUUCUUAACUUUGGGAGUUUGAAAUCGGUACUACUGCUGCUGCUUUCUUCAUCUGAUCUUGUUCCACCUAUUAUCUCCUCCAUUUUCUCACAUCCUCUAACUGAAAUCUCUUGUAGCGUUAAGAGGCAAAUCCAGGAAGGUGGAACCAAGCUCUCCAUGCUGUCGCAAUUCCAUACUUCAAUUUGUUGAAGAGAAUCGCACAUUAGUUUUGCACUACAAAUGCUUUUCAGUUCCGGUAAAUCUUUCAAUUCCAGUUUUCUUAACUUUGGAAGUUUGAAUUCAGUGGUGCUGCUGCUGCUUUCUUCAUCUGAUCUUGCUCCACCUAUUAUCUCCUCAAUUUUCUCACAUCUUCUAACUAAAAUCUCUUGUAGCUCUACGAGGCAUUUCCAAGAAGAUGGAACCAAGCUCUCCAUGCUAUCGCAAUUCCAUACUUCAAUUUGUUGGAGUGAAUCGCACAUCAAUUUUGCACUACAAAUGCUUUUCAGUUCCGGUAAAUCUUUCAAUUCUAGUUUUCUUAACUUUGGGAGUUUGAAUUCGGUACUGCUGCUGCUGCUUUCUUCAUCUGAUCUUGUUCCACCUAUUAUCUCCUUCAUUUUCUCACAUCCUCUAACUGAAAUCUCUACUAUGUUUACGAGGCAAAUCCAAGAAGAUGGAACCAAGCUCUCCAUGCUGUCGCAAUUCCAUACUUCAAUUUGUUUGAGAGAAUCGCACAUCAGUUUUGCACUACAAAUGCUUUUCAGUUUUGGUAACAACCUCAAUUCCAGUUUUCUUAACUUUGGGAGUUUGAAUUCGAUGCUGCUGCUGCUUUCUUCAUCUGAUCUUGUCCCACCUAUUAUCUCCUCCAUUUUCUCACAUCCUCUAACUGAAAUCUCUUCUAGGUUUACGAGGCAAAUCCAAGAAGAUGGAACCAAGCUCUCCAUGUUGUCGCAAUUCCAUACUUCAAUUUGUUUGAGAGAAUCACACAUCAGUUUUGCACUACAAAUGCUUUUCAGUUCUGGUAAAUCUUUCAAUUUCAGUUUUCUUAACUUUGGGAGUUUGAAUUCGGUACUACUGCUGCUGCUUUCUUCAUCUGAUCUUGUCCCACCUAUUAUGUCCUCCAUUUUCUCACAUCCUCUAACUGAAAUCUCUUCUAUGUUUACGAGGCAAAUCCAAGAAGAUGGAACCAAGCUCUCCAUGCUGUCGCAAUUCCAUACUUCAAUUUGUUUGAGAGAAUCGCACAUCAAUUUUGCACUACAAAUGCUUUUCAGUUUCGGUAAAUCUUUCAAUUCCAGUUUUCUUAACUUUGGGAGUUUGAAUUCGGUACUACUGCUGCUGCUUUCUUCAUCUGAUCUUGUUCCACCUAUUAUCUCCUCCAUUUUCUCACAUCCUAUAACUGUAAUCUCUUCUAGGUUUAUGAGGCAAAUCCAAGAAGAUGGAACCAAGCUCUCCAUGUUGUCGCAAUUCCAUACUUUAAUUUGUUUGAGAGAAUCGCACAUCAGUUUUGCACUACAAAUGCUUUUCAGUUCCGGUAAAUCUUUUAAUUCCAGUUUUCUUAACUUUGGGAGUUUGAAUUCGGUACUGCUGCUGCUGCUUUCUUCAUCUGAUCUUGUUCCACCUAUUAUCUCCUCCAUUUUCUCACAUCCUAUAACUGUAAUCUCUUCUAGGUUUAUGAGGUUUGGCAGCAAGACAAAAGGGCACAACUUCUUCAUACUACUACAUCCAGAGCAAAAGAGCUUUUGAAGACAAGAAAAUACACCAUUAUAAGAUGGCAAUGGUGUUGGAGAAGGGCAAAACCAAAAAGAUGAAACCAAGCUCUCCAUGCUAUUGCAAUCCUUAAUGCGGAUAACCUCCAGUUCAAUUGAAUGCUCUAUCAGAGAGGAAACAUCACAUGAACAUUUAUAAAUAUACAGUUGUUGAAUGUCAUUUGGGAACAUCUCCAUUGACGUCAAAUUACCCAACGCAACUGUUUUACUUGGUGAUGUACUUAGUGACCAGAAAUUAUCCAACUCAAAAAAAUCAUAUUCACAUCCAUCUUGUGGUCCUACAAAAAUACGGUAUGUAUAUAGUGAUCGUGUCUUAUCCCGAGAAUUGAGAUACUCCACAAAGUCAAAUUGAUCUUGAAAAUGGCAUUCCAAAUCUUCCAACUCCCUCAAGCAUCCUACUUCCUUUCCCUUAACUGUUACUGGAUCGUAGUCAAAAGAAGUCUUCAAAAUGGCUCUCUCUAAUAUGAAGACUUGCAGGUGAGAGAGUUGUGGUAAUAUCCCACUAGGAAACUCCUUGACACCACAUCUAUCCAUCCUCAGAUACCUCAGGUUGGAUAGACAUUGCAUGCCUUGAGGCAUCUUUUUAAGUAACUUAGUACCAGAGAGAUCUAACCUCUUCAGUGCUCCGAGCUUUUCUAAUGAUGGUACAUGCCUUAAAUCGCUGCAUCCUUUGAGCAAUAAUGCAGUGAGACUCACCAGUUCAGAGACAGAAUCAGGCAAUUUCAUGAUGAGAGUACCAGACAAAUCAAGAACCUUGAGCCCAUGCAAUCGUGUGAAAAACGAAUCUGCAAUAAAUUGCAACCUUUUAUUAUAACAUAGCAAUAGAGUUGAGAGAUUGUGACAGCUUGGUGAAUGCCCAGAAGGAAUUUCCUUGAAAAAACAAUCCUUCAAAUAGACUCUCCCUAGAUUCUCUUUCCACAUAUCCACAUCUGGCAAUCCUCCACCAUAAUCCCGAAUCAUGACUGGAGAGUUAGUUUGGAGUAUUUGGUGGGCCAUGUCCCUAAUCAAGUCAUGCAUCUUGACAUAUCUAUGAUCAUCAUACUUUUUAGUACUAGUUUCUAAUAAACAAACUUUUUCAAGUUUAUCAAGCAUCGUGUGGCCCUCGUCAAAUGCUGCUUGCCUACCCCUCAUUCCUUCAAUUAUUCCCUCAUCGAUCAAAUAACCUAUUAGCUCCUCCCUUUCAAUCCUAUGAUCUUCAGGAUACAAUGCACAAUACAAGAGACAUUGUUGUAAUGCUAAAUCAUUUAACUGAUCAUAACUAAACCUCAAUAACCGGAAUACCUCAUCUUCCAUUUCCCUACAUUUUGAUUCUUUCAAUUUCUUCAAUGUAUUCCUCCACUCAUAUACCUUAUCCACUCCCCUCAUGCUUCCUGCCAUUGUAAUAAUUCCCAAUGGCAAACCAGCACAUUCCUUUACAACAUCAACAGCAAUUCGUUUCACUUCUAGUGAAUCUGAUAUGUCAUGUCCAAGUCUCUCAAUAAACAAAUUCCAUGCUUCUUCCUCCAAAAUAGGCUGCACUUUGAUUGUGUGUUGGGUGUUCAUCUGUUCACAAAUCUUUUCUGAUCGAGUUGUAAGAAUAAGUUUGCAUCCCUCAACUUCGUCAGGAACUCCCAGCUUUUGUAGGUCAAAAGCCUUCCACAAAUCAUCUAAAAUCAGAACCCAUUUUUGUUUCUUCAUUAAUUCUUUUUUCAACGCGACUGCUCUAUGCAGCUCCUCAUCUUCACUGGAAAGAUCUAAACCAAUACGUCUUGCGAGACUUGUCUGCAAUCUAUUAAUGCUGGUAUCCUGUGAAACAGUAACCCAGUAAACAUGAGUGUCUGGUCUUUCUAGAAGCUGAUUAUAAAUGUGCGUCACCAAUGUGGUCUUUCCCACUCCGCCCAUCCCACAGAUACCAAUACUUGAAACUUCAUUGCGCAUCAACAAAGAUGAGAUGGUCUUCUUAUGUUCUUCGAAUGCUUGACCCACCAUUUUUCUCGUUGGCAGUGCAUCUCCUUUAUUCUCAUUUGCAUCUCCUUUAUUCUCAUUUGUGUUGCAUGCAGCCCCUCCAGAAGAGCUAGCUCCUGCUCCAGGCUGCACUAAUCUUCCGCGAUUGUUCUCCACGUCCUCCUCCCCCAAUAAAAAAGCAGAGAUUGCAUUCAUCUGACCCCAAGUUUCCCCUUCUAAUUGUUGCACUAGAUCUAUUCUUUGUGUUGCUUCCCCUGUAUUAUAAUGUGCAUCAAUCAUGAGUCUCCUGGAAUGCUGACUAGAUCCAUCACCAGUGUUUUCCAUGCCAUUUUCCGCUUCUAAAUGCGAGCAAAUUCUCUCUUCCUGCUCACCUUGUUCCAUGUCUUGAACUACCACUUGUAUCCUUCCAGCAUCCUCUGCCAAAUUGUCAACCGCAUUGCUUUGCUCCAACACUUGAACCAGUAUUGGUUCUGUCAUGCUUACUAUGUUGUUUCUUGCUAUUGCAUGUGAAGAAAUCCUCUCUUCCCCUACUCCGCAUCCCACACCAUGAACUUCUGUUUGUAGCCUUCCAAUAUCUCUUCCCAUAUUUUCAAUCUGAAUGUUUUGUUCAUGUGGACAAGUUGAAAUUGCGCAAUCAUGAACAUUGCUUGAACUUGCUAUGCUUUUACGUCUUUUGUUACCCCCACGCAUAGCUAGAAAGGCUUCUUCUUGAACUUCUUUAGGAACCUGACCGCAAGUGGCAACACCAUGCCCUCUCUCUCCUGACAAAUGCCAUUUGAUCCUCGAAAUGGAAGUAUCUUUGGCAAAUGGAUGCCCACAAAACUUACACCUCAUGCUACCAUCAUUCAUAUCUUCAACAUCAUUCCAAAAUGGAUCAUUUGAUCGAACCAUUUUAUCCUAUAGAAAAAAAAAGUCAAAAUUAUUGAAUUAAAAUUAAUGGAAGUUACAUUAAUUGGAAAAGGAAAUGUUUAAACUAAAAUAAUUUGUAAAAAAACAGCAAAGAACUAAAAACUGAGAGAUCGAUUGAUUCAUUUAUGGAAACUACUAAUUAUCCUAACUCCAAAGUUUCUAAAUAAAAUUUCUCCAACGUGUCUUUUACUUAAAAAGAUUCAAGCAAUAGUUGCAGGUGAAAAACAGCAACACCAACAAGACGAAGAAGAUGAAGUAAAAAUACUUUACCUGGAUUCAAGAUGUCCUCCAAGAGCUGCCUUGCCUGAGCAGUAUUCAGAAAAAAAGAGCAAAAAGCACGGGCAAGAGAAGAGUAUAUGGUUUUAAGAAUAAUUUACUGGGAACAGAGAAUGGUAUAAUGAGAUGAGAUGUGGAAGAGAUUGUUACAGUAAUAGCACAGAGAGAAGAGCGGUUCAGGAGAAAACAAUAAUGGAGGGGAAGCAAAAUCUCUGUUUGAUUUUUUCUUUUUUGUGUUUUCAGUACAAUGGUCAACAAUAGCCUGGAAGAGUUGUUGGGGAAACUUUGCAAAGGAUCUGCAGAAAGAAAUAUAUUAGAAUGAAUUUUUUUAUAUUAAUAUAUUGAAAUAAAAAAUGUUAACGCUUGGACCCGUCAAUGUUUAUCAAUUUUCCAGUAUAGUCAUGACAUAUUGAAUUGCGUGUUUAAUAUUUAAAUAUAAAUUAAUUAAUUUAUUAAAUUGAUAAUAAAUUAAAUAAUUUUAUUCAUUUUAUUUUAUUUUAAUUAGAAUUAUAAUUUAUAUGUAAGCAAACAUAUUACAAACUUAAUGAAGCUUAGAUAUUAAGAAUUAUUUGUACAAAAUUAAAAUAUAAUGAUUAAUAAAAUAUAAUUUUAUUAUAAAUAAGUUUUAAAAAUUAAAAAAUAGAAUAUAAUUAAUAAAGGAGACUAAGAUUCUAAUAUAUUUCAUAUUUUAAGCUUCUUUAUUUAAAGGAGAAUAUAAUGAUUAAUAAAAUACAGUUUUAAAAAAGUAUUUUUCAUAUUUUAAGCUUCUUAAAAAUUGUAAGCACGCAUAAUCUUUAUAUUGUUAGGAAUAGACUCCUCAUCUAUGUCUAUAUGUCACUACGUGAGUCUCUCUCUCUAUAUAUAUUUAUACCUCAUAAUCUUUAUAAUAUUGUUAGGAAUAAACACAAGAAUAUGAUUUAUUAAUAAGUGUAAUGGAAAUAUAAUUAAGAUGAAGCGCCUUUGGGCUUCAUAUAAAUUUUAACUCUCAAAAUUAUUCCAAUAUAUAUAAAAGAAGAAAAACUUGCCACUAAGACAGACAGACAGACGACAAAAAAAAAAAAAAAAAAACUUGGUGGAUCAUGACAUCGUUUUCCUUAAAAGAAAAGGGAACUUGAAAUACAAAGUCCUUGGCGUUUAUAGGAGGAGAAAAAAAAAGAGGUUACGUUUAUUUUUUCCCACAGAUGAUGAAAUACUUAUUUUAAUUAGGCCCUUUCCUUCACUAUUUUCUCGAGAUCAUUUAGUCACAAUUAAUAGCAAUUUUAAUUAAUUUUACUAAUUAGUAGGCAAUAAAUUUUGGUGGAUUAUGACUUCCUAGAUCAAAGUACUUAAUUAAAUAAUAUGCAAAAAUUACGACCCUUGAUAAUUUAAUAACCGGUUUUACUUGAAUGAAUCAAGCAACAAAAAGAUAAAUAGUUUACCUGAAUGUUUCUGGCAGCAAAAUGAGGUUCUUCAAGUGUCUGGUUACUGGUUUGUUUAAGCAAUCAGUAAAGAACAGGGAUCUGAGAGAGAAGAAUGGGUUAGAAAAGAAACAACCAGCAUGGAAGAAUCGAGCAAUAAAAAACAAAAUAUAAAUAGUUUACCUGCAAAAAUGGGGUUCUCCAAGUGUUUGGUUAAAGGUUUGCUUAAGCAAUCAGAAAAGAAAAAGGAUCUGAGAGAGAAGAAUGGCAGAGAGAGUGCGGAAGAGAUUGAAUGUUAAAAGGAGCUUCUGCAGCUGCUUCGUUGGUUUAAGCAGACAGAAAAGGGAUAUAAUAGGCACAGAGAGAAAAGUGGUUCAAACAAAUCAAUAAUGUAAACAAUUGCUUGGAAGAGUUUCAUAGGAAUCAACAAACUGUUAAAUAUUUCACGUGGCAACCCAUUCGUUGUUAAAACUUCGAAAACCCCCAAAUACUGUGGAUAUUAUAUGAUUUAGAUUGGCUGUGACCUGUUCGAAUGUUAACGAGUGGAAAUUCAGAAGGGCUGUAACCUGUUCGAAUGUUAAUUGUAUAAUUAAGAAAGGCAGGCGACCUCAAUAACGUUCAAACUUGGAAACUGCAAAUCAAUUACCUAAGGAUUAUAUAUAUAUAUAUAUAUAUAUAUAUAGUAUAGUGUAGUGGACACCACCAAAAAAGGCAGCAGUGAUCAUUCGGCCCUAGCCGCCCACGAACUCUCCCAUUCCCAUUCCCACUACCAAAAGCAAAUUGUAUAAUUAAGAAAAGCUAAAUUGCUAAAUUUAAAAACAGGACCUCCUUAUUGCUUGAGCCUGCUAUAGUCUUAAGUUUUUUUUCUGGAGGGCCAUCAAUUGCUGCACGGGCUGCAUCGUGAACUUCUUCUGGAACAUGUUUACAAAUCUUAACACCACGGCCUGUCACUCCUGAUAAAUGCAAUUUGAUCCUCGAAAUGGAAGUACGUUUCCCAAAUAAAUGCCCACAAAACUUGUGUAAUUAUUCGCAUAAAAUUAUGUAGACGCGUAUGAUGAAAUUAAUAGCUUGUCGCUCAUAUAUGGUCGCAACUAGUUCUUCUAGUAGUGAGGAUGACAUGUUCUUAGGUGCCGAUCAAGAAGAGGCACCUGCACUGACUCGCGAUGUUGCCUCUUCCAGCGCAGUUUCACAGCGCAGAGAUGGUGUGCCUUCACAGUGAAAUCAAUUCACCAGCAAGUACGAGGUACAUUGGAAGGACGACCUUUCAAUGAAAGUUUGUUUCGGUUUUAAUUUUUUUUAAUUAUAACAUUAUUUAUGAACAACUAAUCAAUAUUUCAUUAAUUUAAUUUAUUUUCAAGUUCAUAAACAUUGAGGCCACCCGAGUAAUAUCAUUGGCGUUUAAAUCGUCGAUGGAGAUUCCAUAAUUUCAAUGGAGUCAGGUUUCCAGACAUCCUGAAUGGGGACCUUAUAUCGAUGCAUUGUUUGACAAAUUUGAGGUUGAUGUUAAUUUCUAAUUUCCAGCUUAUUUUUAAUAAAUUAUUAUUUUUAUUUUAAAUAAAUUAUUUAUACACAAGACAAAUUCGACUGGGACAACGUAUUUGACAAUGUUAUGAAAAGGGUGUGGGAAAAUCACUCGGCAACUAGAUAUGACACUAAAAACAAUUUGUCACUAUGGAAGUAGGUUGCAUAAUUUUUGAUAUGAAGCACAAGAAAGGAAAAAAAAAAACGCAAGAAAAAACGGUCUCCAAGGCAAGAAUGACGUGGCGGUUUGGAAGGAUUCAAACCGCUAUACAUCCUAGGAGAUGUAUGGCCGCAAUAUAUUGAGCACGUAACGUCUGAGCGGUUUACACGACACUCACAGUUUGGUGCUAGCAACCGGAACCAGCAAAUUCAUGGUUUGGUGACAACGUACAUCGGGGGCCCUGUUCUGUUUGUUAUACAUGCGAAACAGAUAGUAAGAUUAAUUUAAAUGAAAUAAAUCAUCAUUUCAAUUGGUUUUUACUUAAUUAAAUUUUUUUUUUUUACAGGCUACGUCUCUUGGACGUUAGCCGAACCCAAUGGAGCUGUUUGUAGAGACGCAUGUGUGGAGUGAAGACUAUCAAAAAGAGAUGCAACAGUUCGUUGACAACCGCACUUAAUACUUUGUGGUAUGUUUGUACAACCAUUUCAUUUCGUAAGUUAUUAAUUUUCUUGAAUUGAAUAUGUUUUGUUCAAGCUGAAAUUGCAUUAGUGACCUCGGUAUUGCUUGAGCCUGCUACAGUCUUUAGUUAUUUUUCCUGGAGAGCCAUCAAUUGCUGCACGGGCUGCAUCUUGAACUUCUUCUGGAACUUGUUUACAAAUCUUAACACCACGGCCUGUCACUUUAGUAUGAACACUAUAAGGUAUGGAUUAUAAGAAGUAAGAAAGAUAUUGAUUUAUUUAUAGAAACUACUGAUGAUCCUAACUCCAAAGUUUCUAAAUAAAAUUUCUACAACCUGUCCUUUACUUAAAAAGAUUCAAGCAGUAGUUGCAGGUGAAAAAGAGAAACACCAACAAGACGAAGAAGAUGAAGUAUAAGUACUUUACCUGGAUUCAAGAUGUCCUGCAAGAGCUGCUUUGCUUAAGCAGUAUUCAGAAAAAUAGAGCAGAAAGCACAGGCACGAGAAUAGUAUAUGGUUUUAAGAAAUAAUUUGCUGGGAACAGAGAAUGGUGUAAUGAGAUGCGAUGUGGAAGAGAUUGUUACAGUAAUAGCACAGAGAGAAGAACGGUUCAAGAGAAAACAAUAAUGGAGGUGAAUCAAAAUCUUUUUGGUUAAACAAAUAUAUAAUAUAAUAAUAAUUUAUAAUACAUAGUAUUUGUAUAAUCACAUUGCAUGAUACAUGCCUUAACCUCAAUAUUUUUUAAAAACAAAAAAUAUUUUGAUAGAUUAUUUUUUUUAUUAAUUAAUAUAUAAAUUAAUAAAUUAUUAACUUAUCAAAUAUCUUGAUUAAUUAAUCAAUUUUCAUUAUCCCAAAAUAUAUUAAUUUACAUAGAUUUAACUGUGCAUGGAAAUUUUAUGUGAUUGGAUUGAACCCAAGAAAGCUUUAAGAGCUUAAGAAAAAGCCUAAAAUGGCCCAUCUUCCCACAAUUUAAUUUUCUUUUGUUGUUGGUGGUGAGGAUAUUGACUCUAUCAGUUGUCUUAGCAGCGGAAAGCGCACCUGCAGAAUACCCUUGUCAGGUUAGUGACUCAUCAGUUGUAUUACUGAAGCCACUUGGACUAUCAGAAGAAGCAUUUGAUAAACAGAGGAAUCAAUAAGAAAGGAAGUCUUAAGGUUGGUAUUAUGAUAACAAAAUCAUCAGGUUGGUCAAAUCUACACACACACAUUAAUCAUUAAAUGGUUAUGGUUGAGGCUAAUAACUCAUUAAAAUUAAAUUAAAAGCAGACAGAGAGAUUCAGAGAAAGAAAUACAAUACCACAACUCGACGAAGGGAUUAGGGACAUCCUUGGCAUUAGGAUUCUCCCACUCCACCACUGACUCCCACCAUUAUUUUGGUUUUAUUUUCAUUCUUCUAAGAGAAGGAGGAGGAGAUGGCUGCCCAUUUUCAAGCAACAGAACACAAAUUUUCUUCUCCUCUAACUGGUACCGGAGCCUCUUCCAGCAAUGAACUUCUCCUCUAGUACAAAGACUUGCAGGCUAGAGAGUUGAGCCAAUAUCGCACCACAAAACUCCUUUUCAUCAUUCUAAGAAACCUCAGGUUGGAUAGAGAUUCCAUACCUUGAGGCAUCUUUUCAAGUGCACAAGUAUGAGAGAGAUCUAACCUUUUCAAUGCCCUCAGCUUUUUUAAUGAUGGUAAAUGCCUCAGGUUCAAACUCCAUGUGAGCAACAAUGCAGUGAGACUCACCAAACCAGAGAAAGAAUCAAUAAGGUUGACAGAUUUAGACACCUUGGUGAAAGGCUAGAGGGAAUUUCUUUAAUUUGGUUUUAUACUAGAGAAACUCCCACAAGAUUUUUCUUUAAUUUCUUUAACCGUGCCUUGAGAGUUCUCUUGCAUCAUGUGGCCAUCGUCAAUUUUUGCUUGCCUGCUCCUCAUCCCUUCCGUUAUUCCCUCCUUCCUUUCAAUCACAUGAUCUUCAGGAAAUAAUUCACAACAUAAUCAACUUCUUCCUUUCAAUCACACCUGGACCGUCGAAAAUUAUUGCUCAUAAUCAUCAAUCUGUGUUUAAAGUGUUACAGCUGAUAUAGUUACGGUAAGUGCAGGUUCAAUGAUUAGCUGACAGAUGCAUGGACAUGUUUUAGGAAGUUGUUAGAGUCAGUUAGAGUUAGUUAACAAUAGAAUAAAUCGUGUAAAGCAUGUUGGGGUUGCUAGCAGGAUUACGUAGAGGGCAUGCAAGAAAUUAACAGGAUCGUUUCUUCUCUCAACUCUCUGUUUCCUUCUUCUCCUCCCCUGUUAUCCUUCUCUUCUGCUCCCCAUGUUAAGCCAAGCAAUCAAGCUCAAUGCAACAAGAGUUAGGUUAAUUAAUCGAACUAAUGAUUGGGUCAAAUUUAAUAUAAACACACAGCAGUCAUUAAGUGGAUGUGGUUGAGGCUAAUAAUUCAUUUAAAUUAAAUUAAGAUUGUGAGAGAAGGAGAGGAAUUACCUGUAAUUAAUUCAAUAUCUAUUAUAUUAUAUUGAAGGU
rnacentral:lncRNA from 1 species